rnacentral:rRNA from 1 species
UACGUAGGGGGCGAGCGUUGUCCGGAUUUAUUGGGCGUAAAGAGCUCGUAGGCGGCUUAGCAAGUCGGGUGUGAAAACUCCAGGCUCAACCUGGAGACGCCACUCGAGACUGCUAUGGCUAGAGUCCGGUAGGGGACCACGGAAUUCCUGGUGUAGCGGUGAAAUGCGUAGAUAUCAGGAGGAACACCUGCGGUGUAGACGGCUUACUGGACCAUAACUGACGCUGAGGCACGAAAGCGUGGGUAGCAAACAGG